rnacentral:rRNA from 1 species
GCGUAGGUGGGCAGGUAAGUCAGUGGUGAAAUCUCCGGGCUUAACCCGGAAACUGCCAUUGAUACUAUUUGUCUUGAAUAUCGUGGAGGUCAGCGGAAUAUGUCAUGUAGCGGUGAAAUGCUUAGAUAUGACAUAGAACACCAAUUGCGAAGGCAGCUGGCUACACGAAUAUUGACACUGAUGCACGAAAGCGUGGGGAUCAAACAGGAUUAGAUACCCUGGUAGUCCACGCCCUAAACGAUGGAUACUCGACAUACGCGAUAUACUGUGUGUGUCUGAGCGAAAGCAUUAAGUAUCCCACCUGGGAAGUACGAUCGCAAGAUUGAAACUCAAAGGAAUUGG